GACGAACGCUGGCGGCGUGCCUAAGACAUGCAAGUCGAGCGGGGCGUAGCCAUACGCCCAGCGGCGGACGGGUGAGUAACACGUGGGUAACCUGCCCGCAGCACCGGGAUAACAGGCCGAAAGGCCUGCUAAUACGGGAUAAGCUCACGCCGGGCAUCCUGGCGGGAGAAAAGGCGCUGCAAGGCGCCGGGUGCGGAGGGGCCCGCGGCCCAUUAGCUAGUUGGCGGGGUAAGGGCCCACCAAGGCGACAAUGGGUAGCCGGCCUGAGAGGGCGGCC
rnacentral:rRNA from 1 species